UCUUGACUAGUAUAUCGGUUAGUACACGCGCUUGUCAUAUUCAAGUGUCUAGCCAUCCGCGCGAAAGCUGGGUUCGACUCCCAGGUCGAGAG